GAUGAACGCUGGCGGCGUGCCUAAUACAUGCCAGUCGAGCGAACAGACGAGGAGCUUGCUCCUCUGACGUUAGCGGCGGACGGGUGAGUAACACGUGGAUAACCUACCUAUGAGACUGGGAUAACUUCGGGAAACCGGAGCUAAUACCGGAUAAUAUAUUGAACCGCAUGGUUCAAUAGUGAAAGACGGUUUUGCUGUCACUUAUAGAUGGAUCCGCGCCGCAUUAGCUAGUUGGUAAGGUAACGGCUUACCAAGGCAACGAUGCGUAGCCGACCUGAGAGGGUGAUCGGCCACACUGGAACUGAGACACGGUCCAGACUCCUACGGGAGGCAGCAGUAGGGAAUCUUCCGCAAUGGGCGAAAGCCUGACGGAGCAACGCCGCGUGAGUGAUGAAGGUCUUCGGAUCGUAAAACUCUGUUAUUAGGGAAGAACAAAUGUGUAAGUAACUAUGCACGUCUUGACGGUACCUAAUCAGAAAGCCACGGCUAACUACGUG
rnacentral:rRNA from 1 species